rnacentral:lncRNA from 1 species
AACAUGAAUGCAAUCGGUUUGCCCAUCACUUGGCGAUAAGUGUUUUAACAGGCUCGUCUCCCACUUUAUGCGAAGACGUGACCGUGUUAGGCAGCGGGGGAAAUGGCCAGACUCGAGGAAAAUUCAACAGCUGCCCCAUUUCCAGGGCUUGCUCCCCAGGGUCCCGGAUCAGUUCCUGGGUUUUCAACUGUUCUGGUUUAGUUUACUUUGCUAAGGUCCCUCAUAAGAAGGGAAGUACAUCAAGACGUGUCGAAAAAGCAGCAAAUCUGUGAAGCAAAGCUUUUGGAUGAUCAGGAAAAAUAGCAUUCAGGUAAGAGCAGGGUUGGCUGACAAAGGGGCUGCCGGGGACCCUUCUAGUUUUACCCACGUUGUCCUAGAGCCUGGGGAUCACAUGGUGCUAAGCGGUUUCUCGUCUCCCCAGGAGAGGAAGGAGACACUCGGAGUGCUGCCCGGGGUUAGAGGAUAAUGAACUCCAAAACAAGUCACGCGUGGAAGUUAUUUUUUAAUUUUAAUUUGCUUCUCAUUUUACAUAUUUAUAGUUCCAGCUUUUUUUUUUUUAAGUGAGUUUGCUCUCCUUUCUGUUUUUGUGGUCAGCCUCUGAUCACCACCAGAUCUACCACAUUCCUCUACCUUCUCGCUCUGUUCAAGCUCCUCACCCUAGCCGGGCCGACCCCAGUACACUGCGAAAAUGUUUCUCAUGCAUUUCUAAAGGUGCUUCACGAUGCCCUCACACGUAGAGGCGUCAAGAGGAUUCUAGAAUCUCAGUGAACUUAUCCUAACUUCCGACCCAAUGCACAAAGUAGUUCUGCAGAGCCCUUUCUUUCUCCUGCUCCCCUCUGAGUUUAAAAAAAAUUGGCCUGAUCCAUGAUCUAUUCGAUAUUCUUCCAGCUUUUAUUUUAUCUGCAGAUUUGAUCAACAUCAGUAUGACUUCAAAGUCUUUGUUCAAGAAAUGGGUGUCAACGUUGGUCGAGGCAUGAGAAAGACGGCACAGGAGAGUCGGUCAGAAGUGGCCCGGGUCUUCAGCCUCCGUUCCUGAGGCUGUGGUGCAGAGCUGUACGCCCUGUGCAUGCUUCUUCCUCUUGCCUAUGAGUACCUCAGGAGAGGCGUAGGCAGAUCCCGAGUGCUCGACGUUGAUUAUUUCCUGGGCUAGCAAUCUGACAACUGGAUCCACAAAGAAAACAAGGCUGUUGGUUCUCAUUCAUUCAUUCAGCAUC